CCUACGGGAGGCAGCAGUGGGGAAUUUUGGACAAUGGGCGCAAGCCUGAUCCAGCCAUGCCGCGUGCGGGAAGAAGGCCUUCGGGUUGUAAACCGCUUUUGUCAGGGAAGAAAUCCCUUGAGCUAAUACCUCGGGGGGAUGACGGUACCUGAAGAAUAAGCACCGGCUAACUACGUGCCAGCAGCCGCGGUAAUACGUAGGGUGCAAGCGUUAAUCGGAAUUACUGGGCGUAAAGCGUGCGCAGGCGGUUAUGUAAGACAGGUGUGAAAUCCCCGGGCUUAACCUGGGAACUGCACUUGUGACUGCAUAGCUUGAGUGCGGCAGAGGGGGAUGGAAUUCCGCGUGUAGCAGUGAAAUGCGUAGAUAUGCGGAGGAACACCGAUGGCGAAGGCAAUCCCCUGGGCCUGCACUGACGCUCAUGCACGAAAGCGUGGGGAGCAAACAGGAUUAGAUACCCUGGUAGUCCACGCCCUAAACGAUGUCAACUGGUUGUUGGACGGCUUGCUGUUCAGUAACGUAGCUAACGCGUGAAGUUGACCGCCUGGGGUGGUACGGCCGCGAGUUAGUUAACGUACGAAGAGUUGAGGCGNGAGAGNGCGACGGCGACGACGAGGGAGGAGG
rnacentral:rRNA from 1 species